rnacentral:lncRNA from 1 species
GCCGGCGAUCCGGCGCCUGGCGAGGAGGGGCGGCGUGAAGCGCAUCUCCGGGCUAAUCUACGAGGAGACCCGCGGCGUCCUCAAGAUCUUCCUCGAGAACGUCAUCCGCGACGCCGUUACCUACACCGAGCACGCCCGCCGCAAGACCGUCACCGCCAUGGACGUUGUCUACGCCCUCAAGCGCCAGGGCCGCACCCUCUACGGCUUCGGCGGCUAAGCCGGUGCCGCGCUUCUUACCUGCAGCCUCAUCGUCCCUGUCGCCUUGCCAGCGUCCCACCAGUGCCGGAGGAGGCGAAAAUGCAGUAUCUGUGUUAGUUUUUUAGAUUAUCCAUUCAGUAUUAGUUUUUGCUGGAAAGAUGUUGUUAGUAGCUUGUAGCUCUUUAUGGGCCCAGAUUUGGAAUUCGAAAUCAAAUAUGUUGACUCAUCGAGAAAUUGCAGUGUAUUACAAUUUGGAGUAUUGGUUAUCCAUGCCAUGUUUAGUUCAGUAUUUUUUCUUAGCGAUGCUAGUUCAGAGAUCAAGUUUCCUUUUGAUUUCUGCAUUAAGUUGGUCCAUUCAGCUGUUCUAGAUAUGGUUGCAAUUGCAAUUACCAGGGCUGUUGUGAUUCUAUUUGUAGACUAAUGUGUUAAAUUUGCUGGAACGUGAAAUGAUAUCUAAAAUAGCAAGAAAUGUGUGCGGCUGUCCUAUUGGAUUUUACAACGUCCCCUUCAUUCUUUUAGGCUCAGCAUGUUAUUCACAUUUUUUUCAUCAUGUGAAGAGAAUCACUUCUCACAUAGAUUUUACUACUGUACAGGCACCAAGUGUUCCGGAACCUCAAAAUCAAUAGAUCUUAGGGUUGCAAAACCAAUAUGGUUAUCAGGAACAUGGUGUACCAUUGUCUGAAAACUACUUUGCCAACCUGGCACACUAGUAUACCCACAGAACACUAUGAAUGUGAAUCAUGUACCUGUGAACAACCAUGGUGAUCAACAUAAGAGUGUAUGUUCCAAAGGUUUAAGCUCAAAUAUUUCCUCAAUCAACCAUAUUUCUGAAAAAUCUUCAGCCAAAUUUGACAACAGAUACUUCCAGCAAAAACAAACUACAGUUUCCAGUGAAUCCUCGAAUUGCUCCAGGGUUCUCUAUGGUCGUACCAAAGAGUGAGAAGAAAAUUUUAGGUGCUGAUUUGGCAAAGAAACCUGCUUAUGUUAGUGUUUCUGUGCCGGAGAACGAUGCCAAAGCAGUUCAACAUGUUCCUGAUGCUGUAAAUUCCUCCUCUAUUUUCUUCUUCUUUGUAGUUGUUAGCACUUGAUAUGCUUAUGGCUCUGUUUAUCACAAGAGUAAGUUAUUGGGAUGUGUAAACUUAAAGUACAUCUUAAUUGAUUACUUAUUUUGAUUGUCAUGGUUAAAUUUGUUUGAUGUCUAUCGAAAUGCAUUGGUUCAUCAUUUUUGAACCAGGAUAACAAAAGAAGGCCAGAAGUCUUAUGUUUACAACUCCACAGUAGAUGCAGGUGGUAUCUUAUUGUACUUGCAUAAUCACCAUCCAUUUUGUUUUUUUCUUUUGUUUAGAGAUCUCUCCCUUUUUCGCUCUGCAAUUAUUCCAUGAGAAAUGUCAACCGUUGCAAGGAUGAAGCCCUAGGUUAAAAACCAAUGCCUACUCGAGCAUCAACACCCUAGGUGGCAGCAAAAAAAUAGUUUUCUUUUGCUAAGUACAUCUAAGCAGUAAGCGCUUACAUCAUACAUGCCCUAAGGCCAUAACAGAGUUGAUGUUCUAUACAGCAUGUAUUGGUGGAUAUAUAUGCUCAAUCAAAUUGGAUGUUUAAUGUUCCAAUGACUGCACAUGCUGCUAUUCACGAGCAAAUGACUGAUUUGAAUUAUGUGUUAAAGUCGCUUCAGUUACUGGCAUCCCAUCGAUGCCUGUGUUUCGUUUAAAUUUCUUUGUUGAUUGUUCUACAUCAUUUGAAUGGUUAAAAUGUUUGAUCUUCUGUAAUAUCAGUUGCCCUUGUUUCUUUCCUUUGUGUUUAUUUUCAGAUCAGAAGCAAAGCUAUUUCUGGUGGAACCCUUCUUACUAAGAAUUGGGACACUGAGCAAGUGUUCCCAUUGUCAGAUAAUCUUUUGACCAAGCCUGAAGCAAGGUCCGUUUUUCUCUUCCACUCCCCACCCCCUGCCUACAAAGCGUAGUAUGGUAUGUUAGUCCUAAUGGGAUAAAGGAAAGAAAGGUGAUUGCUGGAAAUCAUUUCCUUAUCCGUCUAAAUGUACCCUUGCGAGAUUAAUGAACUGACUGCAUAGUUUAGUUGCCUGAUUAAAGGUGGCACAUCUAAAUUUCUGCCAACAUUGCAUGAUUGCAUCCACUAGUAAACUUGUAAUUAGUAUUCCUUUAUUUUACUGGAGAAGAUUAGGUCUUCUUGCUGUUUCUGUUGUGCCGAAUCUUAUAAUUCUGAUAACUUGUUUUCUGUUUUUUUUGGUCCUGUACAAUAGUGCAUACAAUUCAAGCCCCUUGUCAAUAUCUACCCAUAGAAGACGUCUGAGAAGUAGGUGGGAGCCUGUUCUGGAGGGAAAGGUUACUGAUAAAAUGGAGCUUGUAGCAAAACGUUGAUGAAUGUAGCACUCACAGUGAUUUUGAGGCCAAUAAUAGCACGGUGAGAAAUAACCUGUUGCUCUUGUAAAAAUCUUGUCAUCAAAGAGUCAACGUAAAGGAGGAAUGGACUUCCACAUUGUUAUUUCUGGCUUUUCAUUUCCAAACUAUCAAUACUAAAUUAUGCAUUACCGUAUGCUGUAUUUAUGCUUUUAGUAAGCUCCCUCAGAAUAUUUAGCUAAUGUUUUGCAGGUUAACAACUGGAAUGCCCGGAAGUUUCUCCAGUUUCGGCAUACACCUUUGAAAAAAAAUACUCAAGAGGCCUACCAAUAAACAAAAUAUUGGUGGUUAUUCAAGUCUGAUAUUUUUUUUGCGCACAAAAUUCAAGUCUGAUACAAAAUGGGAACACUUCAAGUGAUAGUGAUAAGGAGCAUGGUCUAACCAAAUACUAGGCCAACGCAACUGCAUUAGCAAUUUCACCAGAGGAAAAGAAACGCAGGGAGCAUAGAUCUAAACGUUUUGAGAAGAGUAAGGAUUCAUCAUCAAAAUCAAGGAAUUCUGCAGCGAAGAAAGAUGCUAUGGGUCAUGUUCACACAAUAGCUAUUUCAGGUCUUGUUACUAGAAAUUAUGGGAUGGCGGCAGCCUGGCUGUGGAGGAUAUGGUUGGGAUGCACUGACAGGCAAGGGAACGUGUCAGGAAACUGAGAAACGUUAUCUACGUCUUACAACCUGUGAUAAUGCCGUAUUUGCAGGUGAUGCCGAUGUUCAAGGACCAGAAGAGAUAUCAUGGGCUGGUCAAUCCGCUCGUUAAGAAGGCAUACCCGGCCAAGGCGUUGAACCAAGUGGUUGCCAUGGCGCCAAUGUGCUUGCAAGUGAGGAAGCCUAGCCAUUGACUGGUGAUGUCGUCAUGAUGCUAGGCUUCCUCACAUCGCUGCCACUGGAUCCACCACCGAGGGCCAACAUCCUGGACAUCCUGGAUCCGUCGCCAGCACCAAAGAAAGAGGAAGAAUUACGUAUGACCAUGAAGACGACGAAGAGUAGGAUCAAGUAUAAUUGUUUUGCGGAUUGGUUUUGUGGAAACGUUAUAGUAAUAUGCUUCAAAAUUAUAAUGUCAGGAACCAUGCAUACCAUGUGGUUUGUGUGAUAUUUCUGAUAAGGGGUUGUGACGAUAAAAGUUGUGACGGGGCUUCAAAGAUGACUUUGCCCUGGCAACAUAGAGCGGUUGUGGUAUUUGUUUGUUAACAAACUCUGUUAUAUGAUCAAUAUGUUACAACCUCUUAACUUUAUCUUUUUGUUGCAUUUCUACUACAUCUUGAAAUAUUUAGUAAUCUCAGUUUGAAAUCUAUAUUUUUGCAAGGAUGAAUUAUUUCAAGGAUUCAAAGACACUAUGGGGAUGUUUGGUUUACCACCAAACCCAACCACACCGAAUAAUUGGCUCGCCAGCAAGAUUUGGACGCCCUUUGGAUUGAGACCAAGAAUUUGGCCCGUCCGGCUAGCCCUGGGUGCGCCAGUGCAAUUUUCGCCCGCGCGUCGGCGAAACGUGGGCGCACGAAACCUUCGCCAAAAAGUUGGCUGGCCGAUCUCUUCUUCUGCUCAGUGGGUCCCACGUAAUAUUUUUGUUUACUAAGUCAAUUAGCAGUUCAAGAGACUAGUACUAAUACAUAUUAGUCCUACCGAAUCUAAAACUACUACUAUCAAGAUACAGUAGUAGCAGUUCAAGACACCAGGACUGAUACAUAUUACUCUACCGAAUCUAAAACUACUACUAUUGUCGGGGGAUGACCCCGGGUAGAGUCAGGACGACACACAUUAGCCGAGAUGACGAAAGCAAAACCGGCACAGGCAUGUACGCGGUUUAACAAAUAUUAAGCCGGCAUACCAAGUGUAUGCCGGCAAAUCUAUCCUGUCUUAUGUGAUUGCAGGAUAAGGACGAGUACUCUGAUCUCGGCUAACGCCGAGAUGUCUCAACGGUCUUAUCUUCAUCGCAUGAUGCAAAGUAAAGCAGCGCUAUCUUUAUGAUAGGGGUAAAGGUGCCUGAUCUUUCGAUAAGAAGAUAGCUAUCGAUUCUUGGGUGGAUGUCGACGUUGACGAACCGGCUACAAACAUGCGAGACGUUGCGCCUUAGCGAUCGCUACACCAACUUUCGAGGUUAUUGACCACGCCGGAGCUAGAUCAACCUGAUCACGAAGGAUCAAUCCCUGCAUGCAACCGAAGAACAAGCAAGAAUUAUAGAUGCAAUCAAGAUAUUGCGAAUAAAGGUGAAGCUUUAUUGAUGGGAUUCUGCAAGCGCGUAGUAUAGAAGGUCGAUUUGACACUUGUGCCUAUGACGAAGAGUAGCAAAUAGCUAAGUCUUAAACUAAACAAAAUCUGAGUCUAAACAAAAACCUAACGGGGGUAUAUAUGGAGGACUAGAGGGGUAUGCGGCCAGCCUUGGGAAAGAAGGCCGAAACCCACUCUAAGUUAUUUUCCUUCACCUAUACGGACUCUAAAAGUUCAGCCCAUGUAUGUGGACGAAAAUUACAUGGGCCUAGCCCAAACUUAAAAGGUGACGCAGCACCAUAUAAUUAUGUGGACGAAAAUAUGAAGGGAAAAGCUCUAUAUUUCGCCCACGUCUUCAUCUCUCAUUAUGGUGGUUUCAACGUUUUGAAAUCUUCCGUUGCGGCGCCAUCUUCAAUCCUCACACGCUUGCUGCCUUCAUUUCCAUGCGUGAUCAUGCUCCAAUGCUUGUCCCUCUCAUCCAUGCUAGGUCCAUCAUUCCUAAGUGUGACAAACACAUCUGAUUUAGGCAGCAUCAUAUUCUCAUGUAUGUGAAGAAUUGUUCCAAGAAAUGAAAUACCUGAUAAUUAAGUUGGCAUGCGCGAGAUCUUGUGAUAGGUUCUUGUAAUGUGACUGUAGGUGCUGCGGGUGUAUCAACAUGUGGGAUGUCCUCAUCACUUUAUCACGGGAAAGCAGUCGCUGCUUACGUUGUGGUGCCAAGCGACUGCGCAAAGAAUCACCAAAAGAGAAUCAAUGACGGAGGCUGCAGUACUUGUUGCCAUACGCCAGAAAAGGUAAAGUUGUCUUGUCCCCUGCGGUGCCACCCGGAGGGAACCAAGGCGCGUGCCCGGCGGGGCUCGUAGAAGAUAACAUUAGCCUUUGAUCCACAUGUCCUCCCUCGUCCGGUUCCUCUUUCGUCCAUCGGUCCCAACAUAAGCCAUCCUAUGGCAUCUGUCGUGACACCACCACGACAACUAUCAAGAUACAGUAAGCUAGUAGCAGCUUCAGAAUCACGUGGAUCCUAAAAUGUUGUCAAAUAUUGUAUUUGGCAAGUUAUUUGGCUUGAAACCAAAUGAAAGACAAUGAUUUUGCUAAAAAAGUUUGCAUGCAAACUGGCCGCAAACCAAACAGCCACAAGUUACCAAAAUUUUGGCCCAUGAUUUGGUAAUGCCAAAAUGUUGGCCCUGGCAUAAACCAAACAUACCCAUAGACUCUACAUAGCCACACGUGACCCCGAAUUUAAAAUCUAUCAAAAAUCACGUUGAGUGAUCGUCUUAUUAGCAAACAACUAACCUAUUAAAAGUCGCUACAUAGGAAAAAACAACAAUUAUCGUGCAAUCCAAACUUUAAUAAAAUGCUAUCCCCUCCCGAAUUAAAUGAUGUGGAUUUGUAUGAAAAUAUAUUUCUUCAAAUCCACAUCACUUAUUUCGAUACGAAUGAAGUAUUAAAAAUUAAUCAUGUAAAACUUAACUCUCACACUUAAUUAUUAUCACGAAACUUUCGCCUACUAAUAUAACUUUUCUUGUUUUGACAAGUAAGGCUCUGUUUGGUUAGAUUUAAAACUGCUUUCUGACUUUGGGGCUUAUAAGCCACAAAAGCACCAAAUUAGGUCCUUUCGGUUUUGACUUUUGACAUUUGAUUUGAUAUUAUUAGACGAUGGUAUAAGCAAAAAGUCAAAAUCAAAAACAACUAUUUAAAUGAUUUUGUGACUUAUAAGUCAAAAUCUAAAAAAUAGUUUUAAGACCAAUCAAACAGACCCAAAGGACACGCGAGGACGAUGGAGCGAAAUCGAAUUGUCAGAAAGGAAAAGCAAAAACACGGCGGCAGUGGGGCGGCCAAAAAUUUCGAGACGGCGCGCACGGACCGAAAUUUGAGAUCUUCUCUCCAAUCGACCGAUCCGCGUCUCUCGCGACGUCAUCGAUCCGCGGCAGCUACACCAGGAUCGCCAUCUUUAGCCGUCCAUUCCAUCCGCAUCGAACGACUGGCACGGUGCUCGUCCCACCCCUCGUCUCCCUUUUAAACCCCGUUCCCCCCUUCAACCAAAAUCCCACCAAAUCCAAGCACCAGUACCCAGCCACCUCCUCUCUCGCGCAGCUCCGAAGCAAAAGGGGAUCAGCAGCCAUGUCUGGCCGCGGCAAGGGAGGGAAGGGGCUCGGCAAGGGCGGCGCCAAGCGCCACAGGAAGGUCCUCCGCGACAACAUCCAGGGCAUCACCAAGCCGGCGAUCCGGCGCCUGGCGAGGAGGGGCGGCGUGAAGCGCAUCUCCGGGCUCAUCUACGAGGAGACCCGCGGCGUCCUCAAGAUCUUCCUCGAGAACGUCAUCCGCGACGCCGUCACCUACACCGAGCACGCGCGCCGUAAGACCGUCACCGCCAUGGACGUCGUCUACGCCCUCAAGCGCCAGGGCCGCACCCUCUACGGCUUCGGCGGC